AAGAGAGCGAUGAUUAUAAAAAACAAGAUUAAAAUUCUGAUCUGCUCUAUUACUGGGCAUGAUAGACUCAUAUACACCCAUAGAAUAUGAGCUCUC
rfam:Arabidopsis lyrata subsp. lyrata unplaced genomic scaffold ARALYscaffold_334, whole genome shotgun sequence.